AUGGCGCCUUCACAGCGCGGAGCCGCAGAAGGGGCAGAAGCGGAACUGCGGGUCGACGGCGCGGCUGCACGCGCCGCAUUGCCCCGCCCCCGCGCGGGGGAGGAGCUCCCCGCCGCCGGCGCCGUGGGACCCCGGCGCGAGGAGGCCGCAGUCGCGGCAGAGGUAGGCGGGGUCCUUGCCCGGCCACCGCCACGCGGGGACGAAGAAGAGCUUGAGCACCUUCUCGGUCUCCACCAGGUCGGCCGCGCCGCCGCAGCGCACGCACCGCCCGGCCGCCUCCUUGAGCACCCGCCCCGCGCCCUGCUCCACGCCGCCUACGAAGAAGAAGAACAUCGCCGCGCCUCUCGAUCGCUGCCGAUUUCCUCUGAAUUUUUCUCGCGCGAUCCCUCGUUGCCUCGGUUCUCGGCUCCGGUCGAUCUGGCUCGGUUCGAUCUGAUGAAGUGUUGGUUUGAUGGCUCGGUGUAG
rnacentral:rRNA from 1 species